GCAGACAUGGAGUAAAUGAUCUCCAAUCCCCAACAAAUGCUGAGGAGCUACUGCCAGUGCAUAGUGCCUGGGAGACAGACAAGCAUUCCUUGGCUUUUUCAUCCAAAAUAUGGAAAAAUCUUCAGGAUUAUUUCUGUGCUAUUAAUACGUCUAUCCUUGAAACACAAACAGCAAUGCCUGCCCUAAAUUAGGCACAGUUCACUGGGACGAUCUCAGAAGACAUUGGAAAGGAAAGUGUCACAGGAACAAGUGAGAAAGAAAACAAACUGUCCGCAGAUCUAAAAGUAGAUGUUUGCUGUUUAGUGUUGGAUUUCUCUUGCAAGCAGAAAUGGAGGGUACUUUGUAAACAUACUUUCAAUGAAGAUAGAGGUUUUCUUAAUGCCAGAGAUGAGAAAAAAAUCAAGACAGAGAAAACAGCAAUAAAG